UCACUUUCAUUUUGCUAUUGCUCUGCAGUCUGCAUGCUCUGGUGGGGAUUGUCACAGCGCAGCAGGGGGAGGAGUGACCAGCAACUGAAGAGCCUGUUACAUGGACACCACUGUAGCUCACCAGUGAUGCAACACCGCUCUCUCCUUGGGUGAUGUGAGCCAGGCAGUGGUACUAGAGGAAAUAGCUGGUGAGCUACAGCUGCAUAUCACAUCCGGCACACAGCAGAGGUUCCUUGCAGUGUGGAGCAACUGAUUAUGUGCUGAAGUUGCGACAUUGCCUGGGCUGCCUGACUGAGGAGCCCACUGUUGGACUGAUGUGAGAGGCUAGAGCAGGAUGAAGACUGAAGCCUGAUUUGACAAGGUACACAGACUGGAAAAGAGCCAGCCGGUCGCCGUCGCAAGGUACAGCCGCCCAGAGAAUGCUGUCAUCAACUGGGUGACAUGACCCAUGGCAUGGUC